CUGUUAGCUUUUCCCAGAGGGCGCUCACAUUCUUCGAGCAGACGACGCGACAUGAUCACAAGCUUGGCCACCGGAGUACAGGUUUCCUCGAAUAUAUAGCGGUGAUGUUUACAGCUUGUGGCAGCAUAUUCCCGUGAAGUACAGAACAUGAAGGAGUGGUGACAGCUGAUGUACCCAUACAAAAGAGGCCAAGGCACAAGCACAGACCUUGUAUACAGAUGAAGAUCUCCUGUGAUUAUUUCUUUCUCCUCCUCAUCUGAUAACU